rnacentral:rRNA from 1 species
CCCUUAGAUGUUCUGGGCCGCACGCGCGCUACACUGACGAAUGCAACGAGCUUAUAACCUUGGCCGAAAGGUCUGGGUAAUCUCCAAAUUUCGUCGUGAUGGGGAUAGAUUAUUGCAAUUAUUAAUCUUCAACGAGGAAUGCCUAGUAAGCGCAAGUCAUCAGCUUGCGUUGAUUACGUCCCUGCCCUUUGUACACACCGCCCGUCGCUACUACCGAUUGAAUGAUUUAGUGAGGACUUCGGACUGGGACCGAUGCGGCUUUCGGGCUGCGUCGGUAUUCUGGAAAGAUGUCCAAACUGUAUCAUUUAGAGGAAGUAAAANUCGUAACA